CUAUUUAACUAAAAUAAGAGUAUGUCUUGAAAACAUAAAAUAGUUGCUAAACUCAACUAAUAGU
rnacentral:tRNA from 1 species